GACGAACGCUGGCGGCGUGCCUAACACAUGCAAGUCGAACGGAAGUAAGACUCCGGUUUUACUUUAGUGGCGAACGGGUGAGUAACGCGUGAGAAACCUGCCUUUCAGUGGGGGACAACAGUUGGAAACGACUGCUAAUACCGCAUAAUGUAUCUGGACCGCAUGAUCUGGAUACCAAAGCUUUAUGUGCUGAAAGAUGGUCUCGCGUCUGAUUAGCUAGUUGGUGAGGUAACGGCUCACCAAGGCGACGAUCAGUAGCCGGUCUGAGAGGAUGAACGGCCACAUUGGGACUGAGAUACGGCCCAG
rnacentral:rRNA from 1 species